UACGAAGGGGCUAGCGUUGCUCGGAAUGACUUGGCGUAAGGACGGCGUAGGCGGAUGGUACAGUCAGAUGUGAAAUUCCCGGGCUCAACCUGGGGGCUGCAUUUGAUACGUGCGGACUUGAGUGCGGAAGAGGGUCGUGGAAUUCCCAGUGUAGAGGUGAAAUUCGUAGAUAUUGGGAAGAACACCGGUGGCGAAGGCGGCGACCUGGUCCGAUACUGACGCUGAGGCGCGAAAGCGUGGGAGCAAACAGGAUUGAGAUACCCGGAGUA
rnacentral:rRNA from 1 species